rnacentral:rRNA from 1 species
CAAUACCGCUGACGACCGGCGCACGGGUGAGUAACACGUAUCCAACCUUCCCAUAACUCGGGGAUAGCCUUUCGAAAGAAAGAUUAAUACCCGAUAGUACUUAUAUAAGGCAUCUUAAAUAAGUUAAAGAUUUAUUGGUUAUGGAUGGGGAUGCGUUCCAUUAGAUAGUUGGUGAGGUAACGGCUCACCAAGUCUUCGAUGGAUAGGGGUUCUGAGAGGAAGGUCCCCCACAUUGGUACUGAGACACGGACCAAACUCCUACGGGAGGCAGCAGUGAGGAAUAUUGGUCAAUGGGCGAGAGCCUGA